AUUGAACGCUGGCGGCAGGCCUAACACAUGCAAGUCGAGCGGGGUUUUCGGACCUACCGGCGGACGGGUGAGCAAUGCGUAGGAAGCUACCCGAUAGAGCGGGAUAACAGUUGGAAACGACUGUUAAUACCGCAUAAUGUCUACGGACCAAAGUGUGGGACCUUCGGGCCACAUGCUAUCUGAUGCGCCUACGUGGGAUUAGCUAGUUGGUGAGGGAAUGGCUCACCAAGGCGACGAUACCUAGCUGGUUUGAGAGGAUGAUCCGCCACACUGGAACUGAGACACGGUCCAGACUCCUACGGGAGGCAGCAGUGGGGAAUAUUGGACAAUGGGCGCAAGCCUGAUCCAGCCAUGCCGCGUGUGUGAAGAAGGCCUUCGGGUUGUAAAGCACUUUCAGUAGGGAGGAAGCGUUGUGUGUUAAUAGUACACAGCGUUGACGUUACCUACAGAAGAAGCACCGGCUAACUCUGUGCCAGCAGCCGCCGUAACAC
rnacentral:rRNA from 1 species